CUACGGGGUGCAGCAGUGAGGAAUAUUGCACAAUGGGGGGAACCCUGAUGCAGCAACGCCGCGUGGAGGAUGACGCAUUUCGGUGUGUAAACUCCUUUUAUAUGUCAAGAAAAUGACGGUAGCAUAUGAAUAAGCACCGGCUAACUCCGUGCCAGCAGCCGCGGUAAUACGGAGGGUGCAAGCGUUACUCGGAAUCACUGGGCGUAAAGGACGCGUAGGCGGGUUGGAAAGUCAGGUGUGAAAUCCUACAGCUUAACUGUAGAACUGCCAUUGAAACUUCUAAUCUAGAGUAUGGGAGGGGGAGAUGGAAUUAGUGGUGUAGGGGUAAAAUCCGUAGAUAUCACUAGGAAUACCUAAAGCGAAGGCGAUCUCCUGGAACAUUACUGACGCUAAGGCGUGAAAGCGUGGGGAGCAAACAGGAUUAGAUACCCGGGUAGUC
rnacentral:rRNA from 1 species